rnacentral:lncRNA from 10 species
GAUCAGGAUUCCUGUCAUCCAUCUGCUGGCCCUUUGGACCACUCGGCCACUGGCAUGCUUUCCAAGUCUGUACCCGUGAGUGGCAUCAACUGUCUCUUGGACCGUUCGGAUACAGAUGGAGGAAGCCCUGGGCGCCUUUGUCUGGCUUUAGCUAGACACUUCUCAUCUCCUUUUGUGUUGGCAGGGAAUGUAUCCCAGUCCUCUGCCAUUGACCUCAGGAAACGGUGAGUGUGGGGGACUCAGAAUCCUUCAAAAGCCUCUAUAGGGGAACAGCAAUAGGGUCUAGGCUAUGGUUUUGUAGCCCCAGUGGGUUCCCUGCUUCCUGAAUCAUUCCUCCCCUUAACAUUUCUGAUCUAAGACCUCCAAAUAUCCUUCCCUGAGCUGCAUAGAAUUCACCCUCUCUUCUUUGGUUUGGGUGGGCUCACCAGGUUCCCGGUAGCUGCAUGAGAUGGGGGGAGAAAUUAGGAGAAAAGGAGUAUCCAGGGCACAGGGUGUCCAUUGAAUAAUAGAGCAUGGGAGUUGCUUGCUGUUGUCAGUGGUAUAGGGUAAAAGGGCAGAUAGACUGUUGAACAGUCUUAGUGAGGGACAAUGACCAAGGACCAUGGAUCAGCUUAGGAUGGCUCAGAUAAUAGACCAAUGGGGAUUCAGCUGCAGCCAGCUGGAAGGACAUUCAGGUACCCGGGUAGGCUCCUCCCUGCGACAGACCUUCAGCUUCCUCUCGGGCAUGACCGGAAAGGCCAAGCCAUUUUUUAUUUUUUUAUUUUUUUAAGAGAGGGGGUUUCUGUCUCCCAGGCUGGAGUACAAUGGCACAAUCAUAGCUCACUGCAGCCUCUAACUCUUGGGCCCAGGAAAUCCUCUUGCCUUUACCUCCCAAAGUGCAGGGAUUACAGGUGUGAGCCACUGUGCCCAGCCAAAUGCUUCAAAUUUUAAGGAAACACAUGCUAUCUCUUCCAGCCUGUGUCUCUGUGUCCCAGUAAAUCACCUUUUCUCUGCUUUCCCCUACGCAUCCAGCUUAGCAGUCAGCUGUGGACAGAUGGAAGGGGAAAAGGGCCAGGAACCUCAGAAGCUGAGGAAUGGCCUAGCCCUCCCUCUCUUUAGGCCUCACAUAGCUGACAGGUGGGCAGCGGAAACCUCAACCAUUGGACAUAAUAAUGAUAAUAAUUACAGCACUACUUUUUACUUCUUCAUAGAGUAUCAGGGUUUGCAAAGUGCUUUUACACUCAUAAUUUUAUGGGUGGGUACAGCAGCUGAAGGAGUUGAAAUUAGACCACAGGCAGAGUAGAAGCUGGGAAAGUAUAUGAUUAUGGAAGCACAUGCAUACCCGUACAUGUGCGGCCAUGUGCUGUUCUG